rnacentral:rRNA from 1 species
AUUGAACGCUGGCGGCAGGCCUAACACAUGCAAGUCGAACGGUAACAGGAAGCAGCUUGCUGCUUCGCUGACGAGUGGCGGACGGGUGAGUAAUGUCUGGGAAGCUGCCUGAUGGAGGGGGAUAACUACUGGAAACGGUAGCUAAUACCGCAUAAUGUCGCAAGACCAAAGAGGGGGACCUUCGGGCCUCUUGCCAUCGGAUGUGCCCAGAUGGGAUUAGCUUGUUGGUGGGGUAACGGCUCACCAAGGCGACGAUCCCUAGCUGGUCUGAGAGGAUGACCAGCCACACUGGAACUGAGACACGGUCCAGACUCCUACGGGAGGCAGCAGUGGGGAAUAUUGCACAAUGGGCGCAAGCCUGAUGCAGCCAUGCCGCGUGUAUGAAGAAGGCCUUCGGGUUGUAAAGUACUUUCAGCGGGGAGGAAGGGAGUAAAGUUAAUACCUGUGCUCAUUGACGUUACCCGCAGAAGAAGCACCGGCUAACUCCGU